rnacentral:rRNA from 1 species
AUUGAACGCUGGCGGCAGGCCUAACACAUGCAAGUCGAACGAGCGGCGGACGGGUGAGUAAUGUCUGGGAAACUGCCUGAUGGAGGGGGAUAACUACUGGAAACGGUAGCUAAUACCGCAUACCAUCCGAUGUACCCAGAUGGGAUUAGCUAGUUGGUGGGGUAACGGCUCACCAAGGCGACGAUCCCUAGCUGGUCUGAGAGGAUGACAAGCCACACUGGAACUGAGACACGGUCCAGACGCCGACGGGAGGCAGCAGUGGGGAAUAUUGCACAAUGGGCGCAAGCCUGAUGCAGCCAUGCCGCGUGUAUGAAGAAGGCCUUCGGGUUGUAAAGCACUUUCAGCGGGGAGGCGUUACCCGCAGAAGAAGCACCGGCUAACUCCGUGCCAGCAGCCGCGGUAAUUC